GCGAUACAGGGUGACAGCCCCGUACACAAAAAUGCACAUGCUGUGAGCUCGAUGAGUAGGGCGGGACACGUGGUAUCCUGUCUGAAUAUGGGGGGACCAUCCUCCAAGGCUAAAUACUCCUGACUGACCGAUAGUGAACCAGUACCGUGAGGGAAAGGCGAAAAGAACCCCGGCGAGGGGAGUGAAAAAGAACCUGAAACCGUGUACGUACAAGCAGUGGGAGCACGCUUAGGCGUGUGACUGCGUACCUUUUGUAUAAUGGGUCAGCGACUUAUAUUCUGUAGCAAGGUUAACCGAAUAGGGGAGCCGAAGGGAAACCGAGUCUUAACUGGGCGUUAAGUUGCAGGGUAUAGACCCGAAACCCGGUGAUCUAGCCAUGGGCAGGUUGAAGGUUGGGUAACACUAACUGGAGGACCGAACCGACUAAUGUUGAAAAAUUAGCGGAUGACUUGUGGCUGGGGGUGAAAGGCCAAUCAAACCGGGAGAUAGCUGGUUCUCCCCGAAAGCUAUUUAGGUAGCGCCUCGUGAAUUCAUCUCCGGGGGUAGAGCACUGUUUCGGCAAGGGGGUCAUCCCGACUUACCAACCCGAUGCAAACUGCGAAUACCGGAGAAUGUUAUCACGGGAGACACACGGCGGGUGCUAACGUCCGUCGUGAAGAGGGAAACAACCCAGACCGCCAGCUAAGGUCCCAAAGUCAUGGUUAAGUGGGAAACGAUGUGGGAAGGCCCAGACAGCCAGGAUGUUGGCUUAGAAGCAGCCAUCAUUUAAAGAAAGCGUAAUAGCUCACUGGUCGAGUCGGCCUGCGCGGAAGAUGUAACGGGGCUAAACCAUGCACCGAAGCUGCGGCAGCGACACUAUGUGUUGUUGGGUAGGGGAGCGUUCUGUAAGCCUGUGAAGGUGUACUGUGAGGUAUGCUGGAGGUAUCAGAAGUGCGAAUGCUGACAUAAGUAACGAUAAAGCGGGUGAAAAGCCCGCUCGCCGGAAGACCAAGGGUUCCUGUCCAACGUUAAUCGGGGCAGGGUGAGUCGACCCCUAAGGCGAGGCCGAAAGGCGUAGUCGAUGGGAAACAGGUUAAUAUUCCUGUACUUGGUGUUACUGCGAAGGGGGGACGGAGAAGGCUAUGUUGGCCGGGCGACGGUUGUCCCGGUUUAAGCGUGUAGGCUGGUUUUCCAGGCAAAUCCGGAAAAUCAAGGCUGAGGCGUGAUGACGAGGCACUACGGUGCUGAAGCAACAAAUGCCCUGCUUCCAGGAAAAGCCUCUAAGCAUCAGGUAACAUCAAAUCGUACCCCAAACCGACACAGGUGGUCAGGUAGAGAAUACCAAGGCGCUUGAGAGAACUCGGGUGAAGGAACUAGGCAAAAUGGUGCCGUAACUUCGGGAGAAGGCACGCUGAUAUGUAGGUGAAGUCCCUCGCGGAUGGAGCUGAAAUCAGUCGAAGAUACCAGCUGGCUGCAACUGUUUAUUAAAAACACAGCACUGUGCAAACACGAAAGUGGACGUAUACGGUGUGACGCCUGCCCGGUGCCGGAAGGUUAAUUGAUGGGGUUAGCGCAAGCGAAGCUCUUGAUCGAAG
rnacentral:rRNA from 1 species